rnacentral:rRNA from 1 species
AGAUUGAACGCUGGCGGCGUGCCUAACACAUGCAAGUCGAGCGGAAAGGCCCUUCGGGGUACUCGAGCGGCGAACGGGUGAGUAACACGUGAGCAACCUGCCCUUAGCUCUGGGAUAGCUCCGGGAAACCGGAAUUAAUACCGGAUACGACCUAGGCCGACAUCGGCCAUGGUGGAAAGUUUUUCGGCUAGGGAUGGACUCGCGGCCUAUCAGCUAGUUGGUGGGGUAAAGGCCUACCAAGGCGACGACGGGUA